rnacentral:rRNA from 1 species
GGGUAGGGGGCCUGAGAGGGUGGCCCCCCACAUUGGCACUGACACACGGGCCAAACACCUACGGGUGGCAGCAGUAGGGAAUAUUGCACAAUGGGCGAAAGCCUGAUGCAGCAACGCCGCGUGCGCGAUGAAGGCCUUCGGGUCGUAAAGCGCUUUUUGAGGAGAUGAGAAAGGACAGUAUCCUCAGAAUAAGGAUCGGCUAACUACGUGCCAGCAGCCGCGGUAACACGUAGGAUCCAAGCGUUAUCCGAAUUUACUGGGCGUAAAGCGCGUGCAGGCGGUUUGGUAAGUUGGAUGUGAAAGCUCCUGGCUCAACUGGGAGAGGCUGUUCAAACUACCAGACUAGAGGGCGGUAGGGGGAGGUGGAAUUCCCGGUGUAGUGGUGAAAUGCGUAGAUAUCGGGAGGAACACCAGUGGCGAAAGCGACCUCCUGGACCGUACCUGACGCUCAGACGCGAAAGCUAGGGGAGCGAACGGGAUUAGAGACCCCGGUAGUCCUAGCUGUAAACGAUGCAGACUUGGCGUCGGUGGGGUAAAAGCCAUCGGUGCCGAAGCUAACGUGAUAAGUCUGCCGCCUGAGGACUACGGCCGCAAGGUUAAAACUCAAAGGAAUUGACGGGGCCCCGCACAAGCAGCGGAGCGUGUGGUUUAAUUCGUUUCUACGCGAAGAACCUUACCCGGGUUUGACAUAUAGGUGGUAGGGAGCAGAGAUGUGACCGACCCUUCGGGGAGCCUAUACAGGUGCUGCAUGGCUGUCGUCAGCUCGGGUCGUGAGAUGUCCGGUUAAGUCCGGUAACGAGCGCAACCCUCGCCACGUGUUACAUGUGUCACGUGGGACCGCCGGUAUAAAGCCGGAGGAAGGCGGGGAUGACGUCAAGUCAGCAUGGCCUUUAUAUCCGGGGCUACACACACGCUACAAUGGUCGGUACAAUGGGUUGCAAAGCCGCGAGGUAGAGCCAAUCCCCAAAGCCGGCCUCAGUUCAGAUUGCAGGCUGCAACUCGCCUACAUGAAGUCGGAGUUGCUAGUAACCGCGCGUCAGCAUUAGUGCGGUGAAUACGUUCCCGGGGCUUGUACACACCGCCCGUCACGUCAUGGGAGCUGGUAACACCUGAAGCCGGUAUCCGAACCCGCAAGGGAGGGAGCUGUCGAAGGUGGGACUGGUGACUGGGACGAAGUCGUAACAAGGUAGGUGUACCGGAAGGUGCGCCUGG